CCUACGGGUGGCUGCAGUAGGGAAUAUUGGACAAUGGGCGAAAGCCUGAUCCAGCCAUGCCGCGUGAUAGAUGAAGGCCCUCUGGGUUGUAAAUAUCUUUUAUCUGGGAAGAAACAAUCUUAUUCUUAAGAUCUUGACGGAACCAGAGGAAUAAGCACCGGCUAACUCCGUGCCAGCAGCCGCGGUAAUACGGAGGGUGCAGGCUUUAUCCGGAUUCACUAGGUCGAAGGGGUGCUGAGGCGUGCUGAGUGAAAGCUCCGAGCUUAACUUGGAAACUGCCAUUGAUACUGCCAGUCUUGAAUGUCGUAGAGGUAAGCGGAAUGUUGCAUGUAGCGGUGAAAUGCUUAGAUAUGUUACAGAACACCAAUUGCGAAGGCAGCUUACUAUGCGAUGAUUGACGCUGAGGCACGAAAGCGUGGGGAGCAAACAGGAUUAGAUACCCGUGUAGUC
rnacentral:rRNA from 1 species